GCUCCAGUGGUCUAGUGGUUAGUGCGUCUGCCUCGGAUUUGGAAGGUCGUGGGUUCGGACCCCGCUGAGUCA